AUGUACGGUGAUUCUAAAAACAAUCCGCAGGGGACAGUUUAGGUAGAAUCUCAGCUUUGGGAGCUGAGGGCAA
rnacentral:tRNA from 1 species